rnacentral:misc_RNA from 1 species
AAUUCUCAACUUCACAAGCUUUUGUGAGCAUGUGAAGUUUGGACUUGGGGGUUGCUGGCCUUCACUGGCCGGCUCCUCUUGAAUUCAUUAGCUGGACUUUCUGAUCACAGAGCGGUUCACGGUGUGAUAAUUAUCUACGCCAUGGUAAGCCCGUCUCUGAGUUCUGGUUGAGCUCAUAAUUGUCCUCGGACACUUUUCAA